rnacentral:rRNA from 1 species
CCUGUGAUCUUGUAUUUAACGGCCGCGGUAUCUUGACCGUGCGAAGGUAGCGCAAUCACUUGUCUUUUAAAUGGAGACCUGUAUGAAUGGCACAACGAGGGCUUAACUGUCUCCCUUUUCCAGUCAAUGAAAUUGAUCUCCCCGUGCAGAAGCGGGGAUAGUAACAUAAGACGAGAAGACCCUGUGGAGCUUUAGACACAAAGAAAACUUGCACUAAGGACACUCGCACAACAAUUUAAACCUGACCCAAACCCUUUCUUGAUGUCUUUGGUUGGGGCGACCGCGGGGUAAUAAACACCCCCCACGUAGAAUAAGGGAAGCCUCCCCUGAAAUGAGAGCUACAACUCCAAUUAACAGAACCUCUGACUUUAUGAACCGGCAAUGCCGAUCAACGGACCGAGUUACCCUAGGGAUAACAGCGCAAUCCUCUUCCAGAGCCCAUAUCGACAAGAGGGUUUACGACCUCGAUGUUGGAUCAGGAC